rnacentral:rRNA from 1 species
UACGAAGGGGGCUAGCGUUGCUCGGAAUCACUGGGCGUAAAGCGCACGUAGGCGGCUUUUAAGUCAGAGGUGAAAUCCUGGAGCUCAACUCCAGAACUGCCUUUGAUACUGGAGAGCUUGAGUCCGGGAGAGGUGAGUGGAACUGCGAGUGUAGAGGUGAAAUUCGUAGAUAUUCGCAAGAACACCAGUGGCGAAGGCGGCUCACUGGCCCGGUACUGACGCUGAGGUGCGAAAGCGUGGGGAGCAAACAGGGAUUAA